rnacentral:rRNA from 1 species
CAUCCUGCCGGAGGUCAUUGCUAUUGGAGUCCGAUUUAGCCAUGCUAGUUGCACGAGUUUAGACUCGUAGCAGAUAGCUCAGUAACACGUGGCCAAACUACCCUAUGGAUCCGAAUAACCUCGGGAAACUGAGGCUAAUAUGGAAUAGCGUUCAUCGCCUGGAGUGGCACGAACGCGAAACGUUACGGCGCCAUAGGAUGUGGCUGCGGCCGAUUAGGUAGACGGUGGGGUAACGGCCCACCGUGCCCAUAAUCGGUACGGGUUGUGAGAGCAAGAGCCCGGAGACGGUAUCUGAGACAAGAUACCGGGCCCUACGGGGCGCAGCAGGCGCGAAACCUUUACACUGCACGCGAGUGCGAUAAGGGGACUCCGAGUGCGAGGGCAUAUAGUCCUCGCUUUUCACGACCGUAAGGUGGUCGUAGAAUAAGUGACUGGGCAAGACCGGUGCCAGCCGCCGCGGUAAUACCGGCAGCACGAGUGAUGACCGCUAUUAUUGGGCCUAAAGCGUCCGUAGCUGGCCACGCAAGUCUAUCGGGAAAUCCGCGCGCUUAACGCGCGCGCGUCCGGUGGAAACUGCGUGGCUUGGGACCGGAAGACCAGAGGGGUACGUCCGGGGUAGGAGUGAAUUCCGUAAUUCUGGACGGACCACCGGUGGCGAAAGCGCCUCUUGAAGACGGAUCCGACGGUGAGGGACGAAAGUU